rnacentral:rRNA from 1 species
GACGUAGGGCGCGAGCGUUGUCCGGAUUUAUUGGGCGUAAAGAGCUCGUAGGCGGCUUGUCGCGUCGAAUGUGAAAUCUCGGGGGCUCAACUCCGAGCUUGCAUUCGAUACGGGCAGGCUAGAGUUCGGUAGGGGGAGACUGGAAAUUCCUGGUGUAGCGGUGAAAAUGCGCAGAUAUCAGGAGGAACACCGGUGGCGAAGGCGGGGUCUCUGGGGCCGAUACUGACGCUGAGGAGCGAAAAGCGUGGGGGGAGCGAACAGG